AUGGCGAGCGGGGUGGAUCGCAUCAGCACCCUCCCAGAUGCCGUCCUCCACCAAGUGCUCCACUUCCUGCCGUCUCAAGAGGUGGUGCGGACGUGCGUGCUCGCCCGGCGCUGGCUCGGCGUCUGGAGGUUCAUGCCCGCCCUCCGCUUCAACGGCGCCAAGGGGUGGGACAGCGCCGACAGGUUCGCCCAGUUCGUGGACCACCUGCUCCACCUCAGAUUCGAGGGCGACGGCAGCGCAUGCGCACCUCUGGAUUCCUGCGAUUUCGACUUCGAUGCCGACGGGUUCAUGCGAUUGCCCACUAAUGAGCAGCAUGCGAGCAACUGGAUCUGGAAAGUCGUCCCCAGUGUCCGGAUGCUCCGGCUUCGUGUGGUCGAGUUUGGGCAGGAACCCUCGCCACUAUCUGAUCUGCAUCUCGUUUCCCAGCACCUCACCAAGUUAGAGCUUGUUGGUGUCGGUGUGAAAGACAGCGUUGUUGAUUUUUCAGGCUGUCCGGCACUGGUGGAGCUGAGUAUGGAUGUUUGCGAUGUUUUUGUCAAACAGCUGCUGUCUCCAUCCUUGAAGCAUCUGCGCAUUACCCGCUGUUAUACCUCUGAGUACACUCGCAUCCUUAUUUCUUAUGGGGAUCCUGAAUAUGGGCCUAUUUAUGACCGCAAUAACAGCAUCUUCCUCAAAGGUUUAUCUGAAGCUACGGACUUGGAGUUAUCAGCUGAUUCGGAUUUGAUUCUUUUCGACAGGGAUUUGAAGUGGUGCCCUACAUUUACCAAGUUGAAGACUUUGUUACUUAAUGAUUGGUGUUUGGCUGCCAACCACAGUGCACUGAUUUGUUUUCUCCAACACUCGCCGAUUUUGGAGAAGCUUACUCUUCAACUUUCUAAGGGACCUUCAUAUGUGACUGAAACAGAAGGAAUGUACAAACCAUUGGGACUGUCAGUUGCAUCCAACUGUCUGAAGAUCGUUGAAAUUAGAUGUGCAAGUGUUGAUAGUAAGGUUUCAAUUUUGUUUGCAGUAGUUUCAGCUAAAACUAGAGGUACGACGUCGGGACGGCCUAUGACAAUAAGUUAG
rnacentral:rRNA from 1 species